AGAGUUUGAUCCUGGCUCAGGAUGAACGCUAGCUACAGGCUUAACACAUGCAAGUCGAGGGGAAACGAUAUUGGAAGCUUGCUUUCCGAUAGGCGUCGACCGGCGCACGGGUGAGUAACGCGUAUCCAACCUGCCCACCACUUGGGGAUAACCUUGCGAAAGUAAGACUAAUACCCAAUGACGUCUCUAGAAGACAUCUGAAAGAGAUUAAAGAUUUAUCGGUGAUGGAUGGGGAUGCGUCUGAUUAGCUUGUUGGCGGGGUAACGCCACCAAGGCUACGAUCAGUAGGGGUUCUGAGAGGAGGUCCCCCANAUUGGAACUGAGACACGGUCCAAACUCCGUACGGGAGCA
rnacentral:rRNA from 1 species